rnacentral:piRNA from 1 species
UGAUAGCCCCAGGUGAACUGGUUACAAUUC